UACAGAGGAGCCAAGCGUUGUCCGGAUUGACUGGGCGUAAAGGGCGCGUAGGCGGCCCGCUAAGUCGAACGUGAAAUCCCAGGGCUCAACCCUGGAACUGCCUUUGAUACUGACGGUCUGGAGAUCGGGAGAGGUUGGUGGAAUUCCGAGUGUAGAGGUGAAAUUCGUAGAUAUUCGGAGGAACACCAGAAGCGAAGGCGGCCAACUGGCCCGAUACUGACGCUGAGGCGCGAAAGCGUGGGGAGCAAACAGG
rnacentral:rRNA from 1 species